rnacentral:lncRNA from 1 species
GAAAAUGAAAGCCCAACUUUUAUUAUUUCAACCAAAAAAGAAAAGUGUUUAUAUAUAUAGAUAUAUAUAUCAGAAUUGCAACUGACAUAUUAUUAUAGCAAUAUUCAGAGGCUAGCAUUAUUCCUUGUGUCUUAUCUAUUGAAAUAAUAACAUAAGGUCAUAGAAAGGAAAAGGCAAUAGAGGCAAAGAUUCAAUCCAGAUACAAGCGGUCCAUGAGAAGCAAGUUGAUUCAUUCUAUUUAAAAAUUCUGCAGCAGCAACUGCAAUAAAACUGAAUCUUCGUUCUCCUAAAAUUAGUAAAGUUUUAUCCGUCUGCAGGCGCCUCUCUAAACCUUCAUCACCCAUGUGAAACCAGUCAAUGAGCCGUGACAGAGAGGAAGCAAUGGCCCUACAGCCCAUAAAGGUGGGAUGAUCUGAGAUCCCAAACCAGUUGUUUAUUGUUUCGAUGCGGACUGAAUGUCACAGCCAUCCAAAAGGGCCAUGAAUCUGUGUCAUCCAAUUCCACCAUUAUCCCAUUACUAUUGCCUUCCCCUAAACUCUCAGAAACACCCAACUGCUUUCAGAUUUCAGAUUCACUUGAAACUGAGUUCUGCUCUCUGAUCUCUCCCAUUGAAGUGGGUUACCUUUAACUUUCUGCAGAUUCUUUAUUGUUCUUUUGUAGAGCUUCCCGGCAUCAGCUGGGAAUGAUGGUCCAACCCUAUCCCCACUUGUUAAUGUCUGAUGUGGACUGGACCCACUUGUGGUCGACAGUUACGAGUCCUCAUUUACCGUUGAUUCAGUUUUUAACGGCUCCAUCAUAAAUAGCAUCGUAAAACUCGAAAAGGGCUUACGCUUAGGCCUUCAAUUUCCAUCAGCUGAAAACCAAUAUGCGUAUGCAUUGAUGUCACAAAUCUUCAGAGUCUGUAGUCAUGGCUGGGCAAGUGUAGUUUCCACUUGACUGUUAGUGUAACUGCCACCCUCCAAGUUGCAAGAAGUAAAAUGAUAAAGACAAUCACUUUAAAUACAUAAAGACAAUCAAAUAACUACUAAUUUAUUUGCCCUAGAAUAAUGUAAAAUUUGUUAUAAUUUCUAUCAUUUUGAUGCGAUAUCAAAAUCUUUCUAUUUUCGUGUAAAAGUAUUUUCUCAAAUAAAUCCCAUG